UCUUUGUGAUAUCUCCUAACACAUUUAUUUAUUUAUUUAUUUAUUUAUUUAUUUAUUUUAGAGAGAGAGAGAGCUGCGAGAUGGGCAGAGGGAGAGGGAGAGAGACAGUCCCAAGCAGGUUCCACACCCAGCAUGGGGCCCAGUGCAGGAGCUCCAUCUGACGACCCUGAGAUCAUGGCUUGAGCUGAAAUCAAGAGUUGGACGCCUAACCGACUGAGCCACCCAGAUGAGAAAACUCAGAACAGUCAAGAUUAAGCAAUAACCCCCAACGCACGCGAGUAGCAAGGGACAAAGUGAAGCUCUGUACCACGGUCCCUCUGAUUCUCAGCCCUUGCCUUCUGUGCCUUUCCAUGAGCCCUGAGGUGAAGAUGGGGAACAGAAGAUGCCACUGUCCACGGAGAAGCCGAUGGAUGGCUGUGCAGAUGGAGUGAUGGAGUUCUCUCAAGUCAAGAGGAUAUUUUUCUUCCUAUCUUCCCUUUGAGCAGAUUAUACAAACAGGCCCAACAGCCUGCUCCCGGUAGACAGAAUCUUGCCGAGAUUCCGUGGGCGAAGACAUGACCCGGACCACGCCUUUGGAGAGAAAUUUGACAGGCUUUCCGUCAAUUUCACAGCGUGCAUCAUUUCUGACCCAGCACACUCGAGGUCUACGAAUAUGCCAGAGUUACCCCGGCAUAUCUGCCUGUGAGACACACGGAAAGAUGUUCCUUGCAGAAUCAGUGGAGGACUGUCUGAAUAAAUGUGGCAAUUCAUCUGCUGGAACACAGUAUCAUCAUCAAAAGCUGCGGAAAGAGAUGAGAUAGACGGGUAGAUCGUUAACAACUAAACAAGCUGCAGAAUACUGCCAGCAGCAUGAGACCAUUUAUGUGAAAGCUUAAAGCACAACGCUCAUCUUGUUCAAGGAUUCAUGUGUAUGCGAUGCCAAGGAAUAAAAACUGGGCUUGAAAGACACCAAACAGUGGUUAGCUUUAGGAAGAAGGGAGGUGACCGGCCUGGAAGAGGAGACAGAAGAAUCUGUAGUUUUACUUGCCAAUGUUUUAUUUCUUCUGUUUUUGUUUUUUUAACGAAAACCAAACAUGGGACCUAAUAACAACUACUCUAGGAAGGGGCCACUUCUAUGUGUGUUUCAGGAUUUUCUGCCCUUUCCCCCACUUUUUAGAGUUUUCAGAAUGUGAGAAAUGUGAGGAAGAAGGCACAGCAAAAGCAGGGGGAGGAAGAAGGGAAGGAGGCAGUUCUGUAGCGCGUCUGGUGCGUUUGAAAAUCCAACUAAGAGCCAUGGCGACUAUCACAAGGGCGUCCAAAUGGACUGAAAAACAUCCAAAGCAGCAAUAGUGAACCAAACAACGAAUUCAUCUAAGUAUAUUUGAAAAUAAUGAUAUACCUUUUUAGUAUUAAAAAUAAAAGCCUUUGGGGCACCUGGGUGGUUUA